rnacentral:rRNA from 1 species
AUUGAACGCUGGCGGCAUGCCUUACACAUGCGAGUCGAACGGUAACGGGCCUUCGGGUGCCGACGAGUGGCGAACGGGUGAGUAAUACAUCGGAACGUGCACGAUCGUGGGGGAUAACGAGGCGAAAGCUUUGCUAAUACCGCAUACGAUCUACGGAUGAAAGCAGGGGACCGCAAGGCCUUGCGCGGACGGAGCGGCCGAUGGCAGAUUAGGUAGUUGGUGGGAUAAAAGCUUACCAAGCCGACGAUCUGUAGCUGGGCUGAGGGGAUGUUCAGCCACACAGGGGAUGAGACCCGGCCCAGACCCCUAGGGGGGGCAGCAGGGGGGAAUUUUGGAAAAUGGGGGAAAGCCUGUCCAGGCCAGGCCGGGUGGAGGAAGAAGGCCUUGGGGUUGUAAACUGCUUUUGUAGGGAACAAAAGGCCUUUUUUUAAAACAGGGGGGUCAUGACGGUACCGGAAGAAUAAGCACCGGCUAACUACGG